GGAUCAACAUGUCGGUCGUGCCUCCGGUACGUACUGGUAUCGUUGAUUUCUACCUUCUGACAAACCAUGAUGUCAUUAAUUUGGUGUCAUGGGGAAUCAGGACUGUUACUUUGAAAAAAUUAGAGUGUUUAAAGCAGGCUCGCGCUUGAAUACAUUAGCAUGGAAUAAUGAAAUAGGACGUUCGAUCCUAUUUUGUUGGUUUCUAGAGUCGCCGUA
rnacentral:rRNA from 1 species